rnacentral:lncRNA from 1 species
UUCUUUCUUCUUUCCUACCUUUCUUUUUCUUUUUCCUUAUUUCCUUUCUUUCUUUUUCUUCUUUAUUUUUUCUUCCUUCCUUUCCUUUUCUUCUUCCCUCCUUCCAUUCUUUUACUUUUUCUUCUUCUUGCUCUCCUUUCUUCCUUUCCUUCCCUUCUUUCUUUUUCUUCUCCCUUCAUCUAUUUCUUUCUUUCCUUUUUCUUUUUCUCUCUUUCCUUUCUUUCUUUCCUCUUUCUUCUUCUUUUCCGGUGUGGAUGGAUUCUCGCCCGCGGUCCAUUUUUCUCUCAAGAAUGGGACCGGACGGCUGGGAUGCCCCCAAACCCACCAGAAUUGAAAUAAUUGAUAUCAAGAGCACUAUUUGGUGCAUACAUCUUAGGUGCACUCAAAAUUAUUGGGCUUCAGUAUUUUACAUGUUGCAGCAAGCAGACAUUCAUACAGGUCAAGUUGUGUGUGAUAUAGUAAUAAAGUCAUCAUUCAUUUUUGUUCCUGAUUUGCUUCUCUUGUAAAAUUAUUAGGAUAUAAUUUUGAUGAGCAUUCCUCUCUCUCUUCUCUCUCUCUCUCUCUCUCUCUCUCUCUC